rnacentral:rRNA from 1 species
CCUACGGGAGGCAGCAGUGAGGAAUAUUGGACAAUGGUCGGAAGACUGAUCCAGCCAUGCCGCGUGCAGGAUGACGGCCUUAUGGGUUGUAAACUGCUUUUGUAAGGGAAGAAUAAGAGCUACGCGUAGUUUGAUGACGGUACCUUACGAAUAAGCAUCGGCUAACUCCGUGCCAGCAGCCGCGGUAAUACGGAGGAUGCGAGCGUUAUCCGGAAUCAUUGGGUUUAAAGGGUCCGUAGGCGGGCUAAUAAGUCAGGGGUGAAAUCGUUCAGCUCAACUGAGCAACUGCCUUUGAAACUGUUAGUCUUGAAUAGUUGUGAAGUAGUUGGAAUGUGUAGUGUAGCGGUGAAAUGCUUAGAGAUUACACAGAACACCGAUAGCGAAGGCAUAUUACUAACAAUUGAUUGACGCUGAUGGACGAAAGCGUGGGGAGCGAACAGGAUUAGAUACCCUUGUAGUC